rnacentral:misc_RNA from 1 species
GUCAUAUCCAGUGGUUCUUUUGAUCAAUAAAAUGAUGCGUGUCUGGUUGGAAGGGCAUUUGGUGUCUUGGAUUUAAGAUCUUAGGUAGAAAUGCAAAGUGUGAUUAAUGUGUUGUCAAUUGUGUCAAUAAUUUUGUGUAUGACAGUCUUGGAAUUGUAAGAAAGUAUGGUUACUCUCUCCUUCUAUUAUUAUUCUCGGAGAAAGAGGUUUGAGAUUCUGGACUCUCACUUGAAAUUCUUUAAAUGGUACCAAUUGAGCCAACCAUUAUUUGCUGAAAAAUGUAAGUCCAGGUUGUGUGAAGUUAUGUUAGAG